AUUGAACGCUAGCGGGAUGCUUUACACAUGCAAGUCGAACGAGUGGCGGACGGGUGGGUAAUAUAUCGGAACGUGCCCAGUAGCGGGGUAUAACUAGUCGAACGAUUGGAUAAUACUGCAUAAUUUUCGGUCGGCGGAUAGCGGAUUAGCUAGUUGGUGGGGUAAAGGCUCACCAAGGCAACGAUCCGUAGCUGGUUUGAGGGGACGACCGGCCACACGGGGACUGAGACACGGCCCAGACUCCUACGGGAGGCAGCAGUGGGGAAUUUUGGACAAUGGGGGAAACCCUGAUCCAGCCAUCCCGCGUGUAUGAGAAGGCCUUCGGGUUGUAAAGUACUUUUGGCAGAGAAGCGGUAUCUGCAGAAUAAGCACCGGCUAACUACGUGCCAGCAGCCGCGGUAAUAC
rnacentral:rRNA from 1 species